rnacentral:rRNA from 1 species
CAGGCCUAACACAUGCAAGUCGAACGAGAAACCUGUCUUCGGACGGGGAGUAAAGUGGCGAACGGGUGAGUAACGCGUGGGUAAUCUACCCCUAAGACCGGGAUAACAUUCCGAAAGGGAUGCUAAUACUGGAUAUCAUUUCGAUCUAGCCAUAGAUCGAAAUGAAAGGUGGGGACCGUAAGGCCUGCUGCUUAGGGAUGAGCUCGCGUACCAUUAGCUUGUUGGGAGGGUAAUGGCCUACCAAGGCUACGAUGGUUAGCUGGUCUGAGAGGAUGAUCAGCCACACUGGAACUGAGACACGGUCCAGACUCCUACGGGAGGCAGCAGUGAGGAAUUUUGCGCAAUGGGAGAAAUCCUGACGCAGCAAUGCCGCGUGAGUGAUGAAGGCUUUCGGGUCGUAAAGCUCUGUCAGGUAGGAAGAAAUCCUUGAAAGCGACAAACUUUCAAGUAUGACGGUACUACCGGAGGAAGCACCGGCUAACUCCGUGCCAGCAGCCGCGGUAAU